GAGGAUGUAGCUCAAUAGUAGAGUGUAUGUUUAGCAUGUGCAAAGCCCUGGGUUCAAUCCCCCAGCAUCAACA
rnacentral:tRNA from 1 species